CUGGCUGGUGCCUUUGUCCAGAGCGCUCUGCCCCCUGCCCACCGUCCUCACCGUCAGGUCUCAUUCACACGACAUGCUGCUAACCGCUGUAGAGCGUACAAUUGAAUGUCAUUGAGAACAUACACAACGUUGGGCGCCUGAGUGGCUCAUCUGACUUCGGCUCAGGUCAUGAUCUCACAGUUCGUGAGUUCGAGUCCCACAUCGGGUGAGCUCAAGCCCCAUCUCGGGUGAAAACUCUCUCUCUCACCCCCUCUGCCCCUCUUGGGAUUCUCUCUCUCUCUCUCUCUCUCUCUCUCUCUCUCUCUGUGCCUCCCUCCCCCCCGCCCCCCCCCCCCCUCAAAAGAACAUUUACAAUGUUGUACAGCCAUCCCCUCUCCCUAGUUCCAAAACAUUUUCAUCUUCCUAAAAGGAAACCCAUUAAGCAGUUACUCCCCAUUUCCGCCUCCGGGAGUCUGCUUUCUGCCUCUAUGAAUUUUCCUUUCUGGCCAUUUCGCUGCUAUGAAAGUUCACGUACGAGCAUGUGUCCGAAUACCUAUUUUCAGUUCUUUUGGGCAUAUACCUAGGAGUGAAUUGCUGGGUCAUGCGGUCAUUCUGCGCCUAAUUUUCUGAGGAAUCGUCCCUUUGUUUUUGACGUCUUCCUUACCCCUAGGUGUCUGUGCCUGUGCUGUCCCACACCGUAGCCACCAGCCCUGUGUGGUUGUUUCCGUUUAAAUUGGUGAAAAUGAAACAAAACGAAAGAUUUAGAUCUUCGGUCACACCAGUUAUGUUUCAAGGGCUCAGUAGCUGUCUGCGAUUAGCAGUCACCGAAGUUCCAUCAUUCUGGGGUGUGCUAAUGGACAGUGCUGGUCUACACUGUGAGAUCCCCCCUGAGGGAAGGACUAACCCUGCCUGGUUUACCGGAAUGUGCCCAAUGUCUAGGAAAGCGCCUGGCAUGUAGGAUUGUUAUUUUAGGGAGGGAGGAAAGAAGGGUUGCUUACGGGAUCAUUUCUUUAUUUGAUCUUCUCGGAAAAGCUCUACAGGCGGCAGAAAACGAAUGCUUUUUCCGUUUUUAAAAUAACAGUCUCAGGGAGCGCAAUAGCAAGCCCGGGGUCACAGAGCUGGUAUGGAUCGUAACCCUCCACCCUCCCCCUCCCUCCACCAGCUAGACCUUGAGUGACUCCCGAGGCAUUUGGACAGAAUAGUAGUGGGCAGCCCGGGGGCUGGAAAAUACCAGAGGUGGCUGACACAGUAGUCUGGCUUGAGAGGCAUUAGGGCAUUUUUUUAAUGUUUACUUGUUUUUGAGAGAAAGAGAGAGAGCAGAAUCAGGGAAAGGGCAGAGAGAGAGGGAGACACAGAAUCUGAAGCAGGCUCCGGGCUCUGAGCUGUUGGCACAGAGCCCGACACAGGGCUCAAACCCACAGACCGUGACAUCAUGACCUGAGCCGAAGUCGGACGUCCAACCCACUGAGCCACCCAGGCGCCCCUGCAUCUUUCUACAUAGGACAUCAGACCCCAACCGGCCUUGCUCCCCGCCCCUGCCCUGCCAAUGCCACAGGACGCCGUGUGCUUCCCAAGGUCACGUUCCGGUACUCCCCAGACAGCAGAAGCCUCGAGGAGCUGAACCCAUGGGGUUCCCUGCACGCCUCUCCACCGCAACCCUGCUGUGUCUCAGAAAGGCUGGAUGUGCCCAUCCUCUCUCCGUGUCCUGCUGUGUCCCGGGCCCAAUGGCACAUGUGCCCUUAGUUUCGGAGAGAUCUCAGGAAGACAAGCCCGAAGCCAAGCGAAGCAAGGCGCCACCGUCUCCCCAGGACUCCCCAGAUGUGCUCCCGUGAGAGCCCUUUCCCCACAUGCCAGAGCAGCGGCCACAGCUGAAUCCAGCUUAGGCCCAGCCGGCCUUGCCCACACACCAGAGAGGUCACGGCAUGCCCUCGCUGACGGGCGGCACCUUACGGUUCCAACGGCACCCCGUUUUACAGAUGAGACACCAGGACCCGGAGAGGGCGGGGCUGGAAGCAAGGUCACAGCGUGAGUGGUUCCCAGGGCGGUUUGUUUUGUUCUGGACCAAAAGAGCAAGGAGUCUGAGCAGUGGUGCAGGACGCCCCUGGUCUUUCAGGCGUGACAGACCUCCUCGAAGUGACAUCCCCAUGUUGGAACCCGUUUGCUACCCGUGGGGCACAGAAGUUAAGUGUAGGAAUUGAGAGUAAGCAUUUAGAAAUAUUUAUAGUGGCUUCGUGGAGAAAUUUGUUUCUUUUUUUAACUUUUUUUUUUUAA